UGGGGAAUCUUGCACAAUGGGGGCAACCCUGAUGCAGCGACGCCGCGUGAGCGAUGAAGCCCUUCGGGGCGUAAAGCUCUUUCGACCGGAACGAUAAUGACGGUACCAUUUAUAAGCUCCGGCUAACUACGUGCCAGCAGCCGCGGUAAUACGUAGAGAGCAAGCGUUGUUCGGAUUUACUGGGCGUAAAGGGCGCGUAGGCGGCGCGGUAAGUCACUUGUGAAAUCUCUGAGCUUAACUCAGAACGGCCAAGUGAUACUGCUGUGCUAGAGUGCGGAAGAGGCAACCGGAAUUCUUGGUGUAGCGGUGAAAUGCGUAGAUAUCAAGAGGAACACCUGAGGCGAAGGCGGGUUGCUGGGCCGACACUGACGCUGAUGCGCGAAAGCCAGGGGAGCAAACG
rnacentral:rRNA from 1 species